rnacentral:rRNA from 1 species
CCUACGGGAGGCAGCAGUGGGGAAUUUUGGACAAUGGGCGAAAGCCUGAUCCAGCAAUGCCGCGUGUGGGAAGAAGGCCUUCGGGUUGUAAACCACUUUUGUACGGAACGAAACGGUUCGCUUUAAUACAGUGGGCUAAUGACGGUACCGUAAGAAUAAGCACCGGCUAACUACGUGCCAGCAGCCGCGGUAAUACGUAGGGUGCGAGCGUUAAUCGGAAUUACUGGGCGUAAAGCGUGCGCAGGCGGUCAUAUAAGACAGUUGUGAAAUCCCCGGGCUCAACCUGGGAAUUGCAUCUGUGACUGUAUAGCUAGAGUACGGUAGAGGGGGAUGGAAUUCCGCGUGUAGCAGUGAAAUGCGUAGAUAUGCGGAGGAACACCGAUGGCGAAGGCAAUCCCCUGGACCUGUACUGACGCUCAUGCACGAAAGCGUGGGGAGCAAACAGGAUUAGAUACCCUGGUAGUCCACGCCCUAAACGAUGUCAACUGGUUGUUGGGUGCAUUAGUACUCAGUACGAAGCUAACGCGUGAAGUUGACCGCCUGGGGAGUACGGCCGCAAGGUUGAAACUUAAAGNGUGACGG